rnacentral:lncRNA from 1 species
CCAUCAAUUGUAUACAUACCAAAAAUAGUAAACUUUUAUAAUAUAAAAAACUUAACUACACCCACUACCUUCUUCCACUACACCCACUUUAUACAUUAAUUAUUAGUAGGUCCCACCAUUUUACUAACACCACACUCAUUUUACACAUUAAAUAUUAAUGGGUCCCACCACUUCACCCACUUUUCUUACUUUUCAUCACAAAAUUACACUUUUUCUUAACCUCCGUGCCACUUC